GACAUAUUUUAAGUACAUAUUUAGUAUAUUAUGGUAUAUGAAUUGUACCUUAACAGUUUUUAAAUAUCUCAUGUACAUGAAUUUAUGAUACGAGUAUAUCGUAUGGUACAUCACAUGUACCUUAACAAUUUUUAAGUACCUCGUGCACAUGCCGAGUACAUGAAGACAUAUGACAAGUACAUGAAGGUACAUCACAGAUACAAUACCUCAUAAACGAUAAAUUACAUCAUGUGCCGGGACAAAAUUAGAACACAAACAUUCAUAACUAACUACCAUGGGUACAUGAUGGUAUUCAAAAAUCACAGCACAAACAUUCAAAGAAGAAACCACAAAGAUUAAAAAAUCACAUGGUACAUGAUGGUACUCAAAAAUCACAUCACAAAAUCAUGGUACAUGAUGGAUCCAAAAUAAAAAAUCACAUGGUACAUCAAAAAUCAAAAUAAAAAAUCACAGCACAAAAUAACCGGGAUGGAAGCUCCCUGGGGCGGCGGGGGCGGUGGCGGAGGAGCCCGCGACGGAGGCUCCCCGUGGCGGCGGGGGAGGCGGCAGAGGAGCCC
rnacentral:lncRNA from 1 species